rnacentral:rRNA from 1 species
GUGGGGAAUAUUGGACAAUGGGGGGAACCCUGAUCCAGCCAUGCCGCGUGUGUGAAGAAGGUCUUCGGAUUGUAAAGCACUUUAAGUUGGGAGGAAGGGCAGUAAGUUAAUACCUUGCUGUUUUGACGUUACCGACAGAAUAAGCACCGGCUAACUUCGUGCCAGCAGCCGCGGUAAUACGAAGGGUGCAAGCGUUAAUCGGAAUUACUGGGCGUAAAGCGCGCGUAGGUGGUUUUGUAAGUUGGAGGUGAAAUCCCCGGGCUCAACCUGGGAACUGCCUCCAAAACUGCAUGACUAGAGUACGGUAGAGGGUAGUGGAAUUUCCUGUGUAGCGGUGAAAUGCGUAGAUAUAGGAAGGAACACCAGUGGCGAAGGCGACUACCUGGACUGAUACUGACACUGAGGUGCGAAAGCGUGGGGAGCAAACAGGAUUAGAUACCCUUGUAGUCC